rnacentral:telomerase_RNA from 1 species
CGUUCAGCGGAGAAUCGAGAGUCUCGUGAUCUUGCACACAAGUACUCACAGGCACCAGUACCCAAACAAACCCAAAUGUCACUAGUGUUUGUUUCGCUCGUUAGUUCACCCCAAAAAUGAAACGGGUAACUCGAUUUAUUCUCCUUUAUUUUUU